GCCUGGGUGGCUCAGCGGUUGAGCGCCUGCCUUUGGCUCAGGUCAUGAUCCCGGGAUCUGGGAUCGAGUCCCGCAUCAGGCU
rfam:Canis lupus familiaris chromosome 12, whole genome shotgun sequence.